GGGCCUGUAGCUCACCUGGUAGAGCGUUGCAUUCGCAUUGCAAAGGUAGUCGGUUCGAGUCCGAUCAGGUCCA
rnacentral:tRNA from 1 species